CCAUUGGGUUGCCUUCUCCGGUGAGAAGGCAACCCACUGGGCUGCCUUCUCACUGGAGAAGGCAGCCCAGUUG
rnacentral:pre_miRNA from 1 species